rnacentral:lncRNA from 1 species
AUUUGUUCCUUGAUAGAAGAAAAAUACAGGCAUGUGUAUUUUUUUCCUUUUUUUAACUUAUAUCUUCUGUAGCAUGAUUAUAUCAAGUUUAGUAUCUAAGUGAUACUAAAAAUCUCAGGCCUAUAUGGCCUAUUUACAAGUUCAUAUUUAAGACAACUCCACAUUUUGAGUUCAGGAAGGAUUUUUUGUUUCAGCAUAGAGCAGCCAUCUGCUCUUUGUAAUUCAAGAAUUUCACCUAUCAUGUCCAUCCUACCAAAGGAAAUUUUAGCAUAUUUCUCUCUCUCUCUCUCUUUUUUUUUUUUUUUUUUUUUUGAGUAGGACAUUGCCUCUGAAAAGCUUGGUGUGUUUUUUUUUCCCAAAAAAUGUUUUUGUUUUUUUUUUUUCAUAACAUAUUGACACUAUUGCCUGCACAAUGUAUAGAAUGUUCUGUUGUCCUUCCAGAAAUUGCUAGGCAACCUGUAUGCAACCUGUUACUAUGAGGGACUGGGCUACAGAACAUAGCUAGACCAACAUGACAAGGCUUGAGCAAGAAUUGGGAAGCCAGUAACUGUAGGGGAAUUGUGGGUCACAAACAUGUAAUACUGACUCUACAACCUUGGAAAUUUAGACUAAGGUGCCUUAACAAAGCAGAACCUUCUCAAGAGAAUGCCUUACAAGGAGAUAAAUAAAAAAACUUCACCGCAGAUACAGCUGCAAACUCCAUUGUCCAGGAACAGCUGGCGACUCCAGACCCCUGAAUACAGCUGUCCUUCAUAUUUGGGACAUGUUUCCUUUUCUGGUAGGUACACAUCCUAUGUGAUUCUCCUGUUCUGAAUGUUUGCUUUAAACACUUAAAAAGUUUUUGAUGUUUAAUAAGGGAUGGUGUGUGUGUAUGGGAGAGGCCUGGGGAGGUCGUAUCUGGAAACAUCUUAACCAUCUUCAAAUAGAAGAGAAGAUAAAUUCACUUUCUCUUCUGCUCCCUCACUGUUGAACAGUUCCUCCUCGACACUGCCAGGGGAAUGCUACUUUUUUUCUUCACUUCAAAUAGUUAAAUAAAUAAAAGCGGUGGCCCUGUUUACUAUCUCA